rnacentral:lncRNA from 1 species
CUUGAGAAAGGUUAUGGAAAAAUAGGGCAAUGCACAGAGAACAUACAGAGGACUAGCACAGAGGGAAGGAAAGCCAUGACAGAAUGACCAAAGGCAGAUGAUGGAAGAAGACAGUGAGCAAGUAAAUGAUGCAUGUGCAAACACAGGUCUCAACAGCAGGGUCAGGGUCUGCAUCCUGCAGAACAGCAGAAAGCUAGAACACGGAGCAGCUCUGGAGUUGGAGAGAAGCCAAACAGUGGGGAGCAGAUUAAAAUGAGUGAUAAUUAGUAGAUGAAGCAGUAGAAACGCACAAAUAAAAAAGAGGAAAACCCUCAACUCUCUAGAAGAAUAAAAAGAUCAGAAAAUGUGAAUCAGAUAGAAGACAAAGUAAGACAGUGCAGCAAGUAAGUCACUACUUGUACAUCAGUCUGAAGUAAGUCAGUGCCUGUACAUCAGUAGUAAGUCUGUUUGUGUACAUCAGUCUGAAGUAAGUCAGUGCGUGUACAUCAGUCUGAAGUAAGUCUGUUUGUGUACAUCAGUCUGAAGUAAGUCAGUGCGUGUACAUCAGUCUGAAGUAAGUCAGUGCGUGUACAUCAGUCUGAGGUAAGUCAGUGCGUGUACAUCAGUCUGAGGUAAGUCAGUGCGUGUACAUCAGUCUGAGGUAAGUCAGUGCGUGUACAUCAGUC